rnacentral:pre_miRNA from 1 species
AAUAAGUGUAGCCAUAAGUUUCUGUGUCCAACUUUGAUUGUCCGUUUUAUUUGAAAUUUUUUUAUAAUUAGUAUUUUUGUUGUUAUGAGAUGAUAAAACAUGAAUAGUACUUUAUUCGUGGCUUAUGUUUUUAAUUUUUUUAAAAAGUUUUCAAAUAAGACGAACGGUCAAAGUUAGACGCGAAAAACCAUAACUGCACUUAUU